UCCCUCCUUACGUUGUUCCUCCCCGGAGACGCGGACGGGGGCUAAUACUGCAGUCAAAGCACAAACAUAAGAGCUUGCUCUUAUCCUUUGAGUGCGGAGGGUUGAGUAAACGUGGGUAACCUGCCCAUAGAGGGAAUAACAUUCGGAAACGGAUGCUAAUACCGCUAGUUUCAGGGAUCGCAUGAUUCUUGAAGGAAAGGUGGCUUCGGCUACCACUAAUGGAUGGACCCGCGGCGUAUUAGCUAGUUGGUGAGGUAAUGGCUCACCAAGGCAAUGAUACGUAGCCGACCUGAGAGGGUGAUCGGCCACACUGGGACUGAGACACGGCCCAGACUCCUACGGGAGGCAGCAGUAGGGAAUCUUCCGCAAUGGACGAAAGUCUGACGGAGCAACGCCGCGUGAGUGAAGAAGGUUUUCGGAUCGUAAAACUCUGUUGUUAAAGAAGAACAAGGAUGAGAGUAACUGCUCAUCCCCUGACGGUAUUUAACCAGAAAGCCACGGCUAACUACGUGCCAGCAGCCGCGGUAAUACGUAGGUGGCAAGCGUUGUCCGGAUUUAUUGGGCGUAAAGCGAGCGCAGGCGGUUCUUUAAGUCUGAUGUGAAAGCCCCCGGCUCAACCGGGGAGGGUUAUUGGAAACUGGAGAACUUGAGUGCAGAAGAGGAGAGUGGAAUUCCACGUGUAGCGGUGAAAUGCGUAGAUAUGUGGAGGAACACCAGUGGCGAAGGCGACUCUCUGGUCUGUAACUGACGCUGAGGCUCGAAAGCGUGGGGAGCAAACAGG
rnacentral:rRNA from 1 species